rnacentral:rRNA from 1 species
AACGCGAAGAACCUUACCAGCUCUUGACAUGUCUCGUAUGGGGGCCGGAGACGGUUUCCUUCAGUUCGGCUGGCGAGAACACAGGUGCUGCAUGGCUGUCGUCAGCUCGUGUCGUGAGAUGUUGGGUUAAGUCCCGCAACGAGCGCAACCCUCGCCCUUAGUUGCCAUCAUUCAGUUGGGCACUCUAGGGGGACUGCCGGUGAUAAGCCGAGAGGAAGGUGGGGAUGACGUCAAGUCCUCAUGGCCCUUACGGGCUGGGCUACACACGUGCUACAAUGGCGGUGACAAUGGGAUGCUGAGGGGCGACCCCGAGCAAAUCUCAAAAAGCCGUCUCAGUUCGGAUUGCACUCUGCAACUCGAGUGCAUGAAGGUGGAAUCGCUAGUAAUCGUAGAUCAGAACGCUACGGUGAAUACGUUCCCGGGCCUUGUA